GGGGCCUUAGCUCAACUGGUAGAGCGCUUGUAUGGCAUACAAGAGGUAACGGGUUCGACUCCCGUAGGUUCCAC
rnacentral:tRNA from 1 species